rnacentral:rRNA from 1 species
UGGGGAAUUUUGCGCAAUGGGCGAAAGCCUGACGCAGUAACGCCGCGUGGAGGAUGAAGGCCUUCGGGUUGUAAACUCCUGUCGGGAGGAACGACGGAGAGGGGGUGAUAAGCCCUUCUCUUCAGACGGUACCUCCAAAGGAAGCCCCGGCUAAUUCCGUGCCAGCAGCCGCGGUAAUACGGAAGGGGCUAGCGUUGUUCGGAAUCAUUGGGCGUAAAGGGCGCGUAGGUGGUUUUGUAUGUCUACCGUGAAAGCACACGGCUCAACCGUGUUACGUCGGUAGAAACUGCAGGACUUGAGGCUGGGAGGGGCUGGUGGAAUUCCCCGUGUAGCGGUGAAAUGCGUAGAGAUGGGGGAGAACACUCGUGGCGAAGGCGGCCAGCUAGACCAGUUCUGACACUGAGGCGCGAUAGCGUGGGGAGCAAACAGGAUUAGAUACCCCCGUAGUCC